rnacentral:rRNA from 1 species
GUGCCAGCAGCCGCGGUAAUACGGAAGGUCCGGGCGUUAUCCGGAUUUAUUGGGUUUAAAGGGAGCGCAGGCGGGGAGGUAAGCGUGACGUGAAAUGUAGCCGCUCAACGGCUGAACUGCGUCGCGAACUGCCUCUCUUGAGUGAGUACGACGUCAGCGGAAUUUGUGGUGUAGCGGUGAAAUGCUUAGAUAUCACGAAGAACCCCGAUUGCGAAGGCAGCUGACGAGUCCUUUACUGACGCUAAAGCUCGAAGGUGCGGGUAUCGAACAGGAUUAGAUACCCUGGUAGUCCGCACGGUAAACGAUGGAUGCCCGCUGUUGGCGAUAUACUGUCAGCGGCCAAGCGAAAGCGUUAAGCAUCCCACCUGGGGAGUACGCCGGCAACGGUGAAACUCAAAGGAAUUGACGGGGGCCCGCACAAGCGGAGGAACAUGUGGUUUAAUUCGAUGAUACGCGAGGAACCUUACCCGGGCUUGAACUGCAGCGGAAGGAUACAGAGAUGUUGACGCCCUUCGGGGCCGCUGUGGAGGUGCUGCAUGGUUGUCGUCAGCUCGUGCCGUGAGGUGUCGGCUUAAGUGCCAUAACGAGCGCAACCCUUUUCAUUAGUUGCCAUCAGGUAAUGCUGGGCACUCUGGUGAUACUGCCACCGUAAGGUGUGAGGAAGGUGGGGAUGACGUCAAAUCAGCACGGCCCUUACGUCCGGGGCUACACACGUGUUACAAUGGGUGGUACAGAGAGCUGGCCGUACGCAAGUACGGUCCAAUCAGGAAAGCCAUCCUCAGUUCGGACUGGGGUCUGCAACCCGACCCCACGAAGCUGGAUUCGCUAGUAAUCGCGCAUCAGCCAUGGCGCGGUGAAUACGUUCCCGGGCCUUGUACACACCGCCCGU